CCUACGGGAGGCAGCAGUGGGGAAUAUUGGACAAUGGGCGAAAGCCUGAUCCAGCAAUGCCGCGUGAGUGAAGAAGGCCUUCGGGUUGUAAAGCUCUUUUACCCGGGAAGAUAAUGACUGUACCGGGAGAAUAAGCCCCGGCUAACUCCGUGCCAGCAGCCGCGGUAAUACGGAGGGGGCUAGCGUUGUUCGGAAUUACUGGGCGUAAAGCGUACGUAGGCGGCUUUGUAAGUCAGAGGUGAAAGCCCACGACUCAAUCGUGGAACUGCCUUUGAGACUGCUUCGCUUGAAGAUGGGAGAGGUUAGUGGAAUUCCGAGUGUAGAGGUGAAAUUCGUAGAUAUUCGGAAGAACACCAGUGGCGAAGGCGGCUAACUGGACCAUUCUUGACGCUGAGGUACGAAAGCGUGGGGAGCAAACAGGAUUAGAUACCCUGGUAGUCCACGCCGUAAACGAUGAUAACUAGCUGUCGGGGCUCUUGGAGCUUCGGUGGCGCAGCUAACGCAUUAAGUUAUCCGCCUGGGGAGUACGGCCGCAAGGUUAAAACUUAAAUGAAUUGACGG
rnacentral:rRNA from 1 species